GGCUAGCGCUCUCUGGAGCAACAGUUAUGAAGAAGGAAGUAGGACAGUCAGGCAGUUACAACAGAAUGUUCAGCCCAGCUAUGGGGCCCUUUACAGUCAUCCUCAAGCCGGGCGAAGGGAAAGAAAGAUCAUUCUCAUAGAAUAUGGAGGAUAAAUUAAAGAGAUGCCAAACAGAUGCUAGUUGUGAGACAUCAUGAAAGACAGAAAUAAGAAUAGUGAAAAUAUCAUUGAGGUUCGUGGAACCCAAGUGGAGAAUCACUGGAGAAGUAGGAUCUGGAAUUGGACAAAUCUUCAAAUCCUGGAUCUAGCGCUCUCCUGGGAACAUGAUCUUGAACAAGUUCCUUAACCAUUCUAAGAUUUCUUGUGUUCAUGUGUGUGAUGGGUAAAAAUAGUAACACUAUGUACCAAAGAAGAUCAAAGUGCUCAUCAUACUCCCUUGUAUUUAUCAGGCACUUAAAAAUGUUACCUAUUAUAUUAUUAGUUUUUCCAUAUCCUCAUCUCUGAGAGGAAAGGGUGAGGAUAGAUCAACAAAACUAUGGAUGAUAUUAAAGGAGCUGGAGUGAGCUGCCUGCAUUAUAGAUUUAUUUAAACUGUGGAAGCUUAAAGUUUGCAGCAUUCUAAACUGAUUUAAGAGUUGACAAUACAUGAUAUCGAUUUUAAUAGUUUGCUAACCUUUAGCAAGAUUCCAGAUAAAAUGCCGCAUAAAGCAAAGGAUUUUGAUACCUUCAAUCCUUUGAUUUCCCUCUCUUACCUUGUGUUUUCCCAGUUUUUUGCUCCUCAGCACACUGCCCCUCCAGAUCCAAAAUGGGUCUGUGACUUUCUUGAACGUACUAAUUAGUUAUUAUUGAUUUUCAAUAAGAUCUUUUUUGGUGAAAUAUACAAGCGAUGUAUUUGCACAUGGACUUUCUUGGGCUUUGAUAUCAACACAUUUGUUUUCAGUCCUAUCCAGUUACCUUCUAGAACCCAGACAUUUCGUCAUCUUUCUAAAUGCCAAAUUCACUAUCUUUCUUAUUCCUUCAAAGCACAGUAAAACACAGAUAUCACCUAGGGAGAGACCAUGAGUCAGUAUAAGGUCUAAACCUAGAGAUCAGAAAUGCCACAAAUUAAUUUUAUUCCAAUGUCUUUUCUUCAACUUAGCUUAGCACCUUGAACUUAUCAGAAAAAAUAAUAUGAGGAUACAAAUUAAUCAAUUAAUUGUGUAAUCACACAAUCACAAAUGUUUAUUUUAGGAUAUAAGAAGAGAGUUUUACAAAUGACCAUGAAUAGACUCAAAUGACUAAGUAUGCUUGAGUACAUAAUUACCUCCCCUGAGUGCUAUAAGAAUUAAUGAGUUAAUGUUUAAAAAGCAAUUUGAAAUGUUUUGAUGAGAAAUGCCAUUAA